UACGUAGGGGGCUAGCGUUGUCCGGAAUCAUUGGGCGUAAAGCGCGUGUAGGCGGUCCGGUAAGUCCGCUGUGAAAGUCGGGGGCUCAACCCUCGAAUGCCGGUGGAUACUGUCGGGCUAGAGUGCGGAAGAGGCGAGUGGAAUUCCUGGUGUAGCGGUGAAAUGCGCAGAUAUCAGGAGGAACACCAAUUGCGAAGGCAGCUCGCUGGGACGUUACUGACGCUGAGACGCGAAAGCGUGGGGGAGCGAACAGG
rnacentral:rRNA from 1 species